AACGAACGCUGGCGGCAUGCCUAAUACAUGCAAGUCGAACGAGAUCUUCGGAUCUAGUGGCGCACGGGUGCGUAACGCGUGGGAAUCUGCCCUUGGGUUCGGAAUAACUUCUGGAAACGGAAGCUAAUACCGGAUGAUGACGUAAGUCCAAAGAUUUAUCGCCCAAGGAUGAGCCCGCGUAGGAUUAGGUAGUUGGUGAGGUAAAGGCUCCCCAAGCCGACGAUCCUUAGCUGGUCUGAGAGGAUGAUCAGCCACACUGGGACUGAGACACGGCCCAGACUCAUACGGGAGGAAGCAGUAGGGAAUAUUGGACAAUGGGCGAAAGCCUGAGCCAGCAAUGCCGCGUGAGUAAUGAAGGCCUUAGGGUUGUAAAGCUCUUUUACCCGGGAUGAUAAUGACAGUACCGGGAGAAUAAGCCACGGCUAACUCCGUG
rnacentral:rRNA from 1 species